AUGGAUUGGAGAGAGAGGAAGGGUGAGAAUUUCUCGCACACUCUCUCCUAGAGCUUGGCAGUGCUUGUCUGUCCGUGGAUGUCAGAGCUCUAGGUCUUCCACCUUUGUACUCUAGGACUCAUACCAGCAGUUCCUAGGCUCUCCAGCCUUCAGCCUUGGACUGAGAAUGUUACCACCAGCUUCCCUGAUUCCCAGGCCUUCGGACUUGGUCUGAACCACACUACCGGCUUUCUUGGUUCUUCAGCUUCCAGAUGGCCUAUUGUGGGAUUUCUCAGCCUCUGUAAUUGUAGUCUUCAGGUUUUUCCAUAUAUAACAUCAUAUCAUCUGCAAACAAGGACAAUCUGACUUCUUCCUUUAUGAACUUUGGAGAAGUUUCCUGUCUGUAAAAAGGAGUCUCCCAUCAGCCUUUGCAGGGAAUUUCAGAAGGACUCUCUCUCACCAUAGACAUCAAAGCUGGGAAUGUGCUGAAUUUCACCUGAAGUCAGCAAGUCUGUCUCACCCAAGGCCCUCAACAUAGUACUUGCUUAUUGCUGCUGGUUCUUCAAGGUCCAAAUGCUCUUCAGUUAGCAGGUGAUAAAUCCUGUCAGAACUGCCUCCUUCCCUUCAAGAAAGUAAGUUCCCUUCUGGCCCAGGGUGUGUCUAGAAAUGUCUUCCAGGAACUAAAGCCCAGAAAGGAGGCCUCACCACUCUGAUACCCUAUCCUGCUGGUAUCCAAGAUGCAAGACCAAGUCCUCCCCAUCCUUCCCUCUCCUCACCUCAAGCAGAAGGAAGGGGUCUGUUUUAGAGCCAUGAGGUGUGUAGCCUUGGAUUAUGGGAGGGGUGAUGCCAGCACACCCUUAGCCACCCCACCUUGUUUCUCAGUAGGUUGCAUGCCCCCUUCACAUGGUGCGCUGGCCCUAAGUUCAGUUCAGCAUUAGGACUUGCCUUGCAGUUGCUAUCCUUGUGGUCUACCUUGCCUUUCAAGUUUACUUAGGGCUCCAGAGUACUUUCACCUGCUAUGAUGAGGCUUUUGUGGGAAGUUAAGUUCUGACCACUAAGAUCUGUGAUUUGCCUCUGGCUAGGGGUUGUUUGAAUGCUCCCUCAGUGGCAAGGCACCCCCUGAGUUUGGUCUGGGUUUUCUUUCUGCUUUAACAGGGCAGUCCUGGAUUCAGUGCCUCGCAUUUGUGGUGCUCUCCCUCUCCCCAUUGCAAGGAAACACUCUCUGCACCAUGCUGCCCCUGCCAGGGGAUGGGAGACGGAUGGUGUCAGUGAUUUAAGAUUUCUUUCCUACCUAAGUGCCUCUUUCAGGAAUAUAAAGUUAAAACCAGGUACUGUGAAUACUAACCUGAUUUUUGUGGUUCUUAUGAAGGUGCUUUUUUUGUGUAGACAGUUGUUAAAUUGGUGUCUUUGUGUGAGAGACAAUUGGUGGAGCCUUCUUUCUCUGCCCCAACUCCCUAUAGGGUAUUUAGUAGCAUUCCUGGUCCAUACUAAUUAGAUGAAAGUAGCAACUGCUUUCACCCUCAUUUGUUGCAAUUAAAAAUAUCUCCAAACAUUGCCAAAUGUCUUCCCAGAGGAAAAAUCAACACUGGCUUAGAAUGACUAUUGUAGAUAUAUUUUAUAGGCAAAGCCAAAAAAAAAAAAAAAAAGGACUGGAAAGAGAUGUGUCCAGUGUGAUGCAUUAAUUGGAAGACAGUUAAACUUUUGUCACUAUCAGACAAAGCAAAUAAUCCAGGGUGUGUUGGUGAGCAUUGUUCAAUGAGGUAACCCAGGAAACAGCUUUCGGGGGUGGAAGCAUUGCCAUACCAAAUAUAUCUGAUUUAUUAGGUAGCUCACAAGAACUGAAACAAAUUUUUAACUUGUAGAAAGGCCAAAGAACAUAUGAAGAUUAAACAACAUCAAUUUUAAG
rnacentral:lncRNA from 1 species